GACGAACGCUGGCGGCGUGCUUAACACAUGCAAGUCGAACGGAGUGGCGAACGGGUGAGUAACACGUGGGUGACCUGACCUGCACUUCGGGAUAAGCCUGGGAAACUGGGUCUAUUACCGGAUCGUGUGGGAUGGGCCCGCGGCCUAUAAGCUUAUGGGGGGGGUAAUGGUCUACCAAGCCGGCGACGGGUAGCCGGCCUGAGAGGGUGGACGGCCACAUUGGGACUGAGACACGGCCCAGACUCCUACGGGAGGCAGCAGGGGGGAAUAUUGCACCAUGGGCGGAAGCCUGAUGCAGCGACGCCGCGUGGGGGAUGACUGCCUUCGGGUUGUAAACUCCUUUCACCCUAGACGCGGUAGAUGGAGAAGAAGCACCGGCUAACUACGUGCCAGCAGCCGCGGUAAUAC
rnacentral:rRNA from 1 species